rnacentral:misc_RNA from 1 species
AUAACUGGCUACUCUACACAACACAAGUAGAUCCUCACCACAAAAUCCAACUUCGGGGACUAGCUAGUGAAUACCAAUAUGAUGCACCAGUGCCGUCAAGAAACAUCGUUCUCAUAUUACAUAUAAACACCAAUUGAAUCCAGUUGUCCUGUGAACACUCUUGGAUUCCCUACCAGGGCGUGUUACCUUCACUGUGGAAGGUAAACAAACCUGGCCCAGAGGAGGGUGAAGGAUUGGAGGGAGUCGUGGCGGGACGGUAAUACUUGGGAUGUCAAUGAGCUGUUAAAGAUGCCGCAGAGGAAUACUUGUUAGUCACAUGAGGCAGCCGAGGAACACAAGGAAACACCUGGCACAUAUCAUGUGACAAACACCACAAAGGAAGUCAAGGUAACCAUCUGACUGGGCAGGCGUCCUGUGCUGCCUCCACCAUGUUGUCCAGUUCACGUAAAAAGGACAUAACAGCAAGUUGUGACAGCUUAGCAGGAAAAUACAUAAAAAAGGAAUCCCCUCCAGAGGUUCCAAUAAUAAAUAUAUGGCCAAAUGUCGGCCAGAAUGACACGAGAAGACGAAAGAGUAGCCACGCUCCACCUUAUGUGAGUAGCACCAAUCCACCCUCCCACCAGGCCUCUCCCAUGCUGCAGAAGUACUCAGCUGGCUCAAGAGGACAAGUCAGUGGGAAACCUCACGGGGGCACAGAGGGAAAAUACACCCCAAAUGUUGGAGAAGUAGUUCAGCGUAUGGGGGGCCUCUACCUGGGCAACAGAAGCAGUUUGGAUGGCAUGCUUAAGCAACAGGCACCCCCUCCUUCAGCAAUGUUUAAUCAUACAUAUGUCAACCACUACACUGGCUCUCAGCACAGCUUAGAUCAGAUAUUGUAUGGUCCCAGUCACAUCAGAUCUCCUCUAGAUCAGCCACCACAACAUGGAGCAAGUUUCUCUUUUCUGGUUCAUUCUGGACAGAAACAAUUGUCUCAGUCCAGCACCCAUCUGGGAGGUGGGUCUCCACAGCCUCCUUCCCCAAGACUAGAGCAGGAACUGCCUCUCCCUCCUGGCUGGUCAGUGGACUACACCUUAAGGGGACGCAAAUAUUACAUUGAUCAUAAUACAAAAACUACUCACUGGUCACAUCCUUUGGAAAAAGAAGGACUUCCAGCUGGAUGGGAGCGAAUUGAGUCUCUAGAACACGGGGUUUAUUACGUCAACCACAUCACCCGACAGGCUCAGUACGAGCACCCUUGUGCACAGCAGUAUCUUCCAAGGAUUCCUGAGAACACUGCCAUGGGGCCACAUAGGGCUCUUCCCAUUCCUCACCACACAGACUUUCGCCAGCCUCUGUCUCUGAUGCCUGCCUCCCCAUACUUGCACGAAGAAAUCCCAUACUGGCUUAGGGUCUACUCCCAGGCUUCUCCCGACCAUGACCACAAGUUAAGGUGGGAGCUCUUUCGACUCCCUGAACUAGACUGUUACCAGGCCAUGCUCAACAGGCUCUUUAAGCACGAGCUUCAUGGGAUUGUCAUGAGUUAUGAGAUGUAUCGCAUAGCAUUGACCCGGGAGAUUGAACGGAGGAUGCAGCAGAUGAACAUAACAACAGGCGCAGGAAGGAGUGGCAGCGGUGUGACCAUCACCGAGAUUACGGACGAAGACGACCAUGGCGAGCACAUCACCACGCCAGAACAUUUCAAGCAGCAGAUACUAAAUGCUGACAACUUAUUUGAGUCAAAAGUGUAAAUGACUUUUACCCUCUUUACUGUCUGCUUCUAGGGAUUGAAUCAUUAUGUUUUCCCAAGGUUAUGAAAUUUUAUGAGGCAGCUUUUCAUUGGGAGAAACUGUUAAGGUUAUGUUUUAGUCUUUGCCUGUGAUUCAUAGAUAUACUGAGAUGUAUGGCUGUGCAUAGCAAAGUAUUAGAAUUUUUUGGCAUUGCACUUUUCCUUAUUACCAAAGAUGACAAUUUUUCUUUUCAAAACAAAAAGAUGUCUGCUUUCUCAAUGUUUCUUGUAUUAGUGUCCAUGUGACGUGUCCAGAGUGCUCCGUUUGAUGAGAUAUCAGGGAAGCGAGUAUAUCACCUGUAGGGUGACGACCACCUCGGAACCUCAGAUAACAUCAACCACCACCAAAGACAAGUGCUCUCUCUCUCUCUCUCUCUCUCUCUCUCUCUCUCUCUCUCUCUCUCUCUCUCUCUCUCUCUCUCUCUCUCUCUCUCUC